AUAACAAUGAUCUUAUUAUCUUGUCAAGAAUCAACAUGCUGAGUACUUGCACAAAACUUGUACCAUAAUUUGAUGAUAAAAUACAAGACAAUGGCAUGAAUUAUUACAUGGAUAAAUGAUACAGUAACUAUAGCUGGAAAGCAGAAAUGUUGUUAAAUACAUAAAUCUAAAUUUCCAUCUUCCACCAUUAGCUUUGUGAAUCUGCCCUUAUCUUUGUUUUUUCAGCAAUAUAUUUUUGUCCAAUCAACAAUAAUGAUGUGCUCAGUGUCACCGACUGCUGAUCCAUCUUUUUACUGAAAAUAACAUGAAAAGUGUUCAGUCCUUUGGUUCAGAUUUUAACAUUUUCAGGAACAAUUUAAAAAGUCCUCUCAUUCUCUCUUUUUUUUCCUUUCCGUGGCUAAUUUAAGUACCACCCACCCUAAUCCAUUUAAUCAUCCUAAAUAUAUUUGCAGAAUAUUACAGUAUAUUUAUUUCCAAUUUUUUUGCGGAGCAAAACAACAUCUGAUGAUAUCAGCAUGUCAGUGCUAAGUAGACUAUAACUUUGGAGAAAUUGAGGCUUCCACAAAAAUUACACUUUCAUGCGGCACAGUUGCGCAGUGGAGCUUGCACGUGCACCAUUGGGCCUGUUUCCAUGCUGUAUUUUUCAAUCAAUCAAUAACUUUCUGUUGGUUCAUAUACUUGGAGCCAUGCGUACAAUUACUCUCUUCUGCUAUUUUUACACACUGACCUUGUCUAUAUGCCUGUACCAGAAUGGAGAGGGUAAGAUGGCAGGGAAACAACAGUGGCACCGAGAGCACUUGGAUGAAUAAACACACAUAAGUACAUACGAGUCAGCAACCAUCAAUGAGUAGGCAAAUAAAGGUUUGGGAAGGUGAAAGAGGGAGGAGAGAAUAUUCUUCUUGGAGAUUUAGGGAAAAUCAGCUGACUCCGUGCAUGAAGGACACAUGCUCCCAGGAGUGGACCAGACCAAUUGUGCCGCCCUAACCUAGUAGGAUUAAUGUCCCCAAGCACUCCACGCGAUGAGUUCUAAGGACCAUUGACUCAUGCCCCGUUCCUCCAUGAGGAAGAACUACUGUCGGUAUCUUAAGAGGAACAACAAGACAACAUCAAUGUUAGCAAACAAUUAUUACUGUUAUUCAAAACAUUUUUUAUGCAGUUUAAGCUGUUUUCAAGCUCCUCCUAAACUCAGCCGUGAAAGGAAUAUGUUGAAUUACAACUGCAAAUUACUGCUUUAUUUAU